rnacentral:misc_RNA from 1 species
GUGAAUCAUCAAAUCUUUGAACGCAAAUUGCACUCCCUGGUAUUCCGGAGAGUAUGCCUGUUUGAGGGUCAGUUUAAAUAUAAAUCGGAGUGGUUGCUGCCUUGCGUGGUGACGCACCGGAUUUGGGUUGUCUUGCCUUCGGUUUAUUUACUUAAAAUUUUACAUGAUUUUUUUCGAUCGUCUUUAAAUUAUUUUACGUACGUUUGUGAUAUCGACUACUCGCUUUGGCCACC